UGUGUGUGCGCGUAGAUUGAGAGGGAGAAAGAGGGGCAAAGACCUUCAUCUUAUAAACACAAAAAAAUUCAGCAAUUAGGAAGGAAAUUGGUGAUCAAUCUUAUGCAUGAAGAUCAUCUCUUAACCAUCAAAGUGUGAAAGAAGAAGGAUCAAGCAAAAAGAGGUCACAAAGUUCAAACGAUCGAGGUAAAUCAUCGUGUUAGAUGGCACCAAGCUUGGAACUAACACAUCACUCUCAUAUCACGUUUCCGCGUUUCAUGUUCAAACGGGUCAAAAACAUUUUGUACUUAUGUUUAAGUUUAGUCGUACAUUUGUAAGAUUGUGUUUAAAAUUUAUUAUGUUAUUUACUAGUAAACUUUUAAGUAACUAACUUCGUUUGUAAAUUUUGGGUUUGUACAAGUUAAUGAAUGGCA
rnacentral:lncRNA from 1 species